rnacentral:rRNA from 1 species
CAAAACGUAGGACGCGAGCGUUAUCCGGAUUUACUGGGCGUAAAGCGCGGGCAGGCGGUGGUCCAAGUCGGACGUGAAAGCUCCCGGCUCAACUGGGAGAGGUCGUUCGAAACUGGGCCGCUAGAGGGCAGUAGAGGGGCGUGGAAUUCCGGGUGGAGUGGUGAAAUGCGUAGAGAUCCGGAGGAACACCAGAGGCGAAGGCGGCGCCCUGGGCUGCACCUGACGCUGAGCCGCGAAAGCUAGGGGAGCGAACGGGAUUAGAAACCCCGGUAGUCCUAGCCGUAAACGAUGUCCACUAGAUGUCUGGGCGGAGCGCCUGGGCGUCGCAGCUAACGCGUUAAGUGGACCGCCUGGGGAGUACGGCCGCAAGGCUAAAACUCAAAGGAAUUGACGGGGGCCCGCAC